UUUAAGAUGAAAGUCAUUCUCUGUACCCGGGACCAGCCCAGCUUGAGAAUCGGGGGCCCGUGCCUCUCGAAUUGUAGUCUGGAGAAGCGUCCUCAGCGACGGACCGGGCCCAAGUCCCCUGGAAAGGGGCGCCGGGGAGGGUGAGAGCCCCGUCCGGCCCGGACCCUGCCGCACCACGAGGCGCUGUCGGCGAGUCGGGUUGUUUGGGAGUGCAGCCCCAAUCGGGCGGUAAAUUCCGUCCAAGGCUAAAUACCGGCGAGAGACCGAUAGCGAACAAGUACCGCGAGGGAAAGAUGAAAAGGACUUUGAAAAGAGAGUCAAAGAGUGCUUGAAAUUGCCGG
rnacentral:rRNA from 1 species